rnacentral:sRNA from 21 species
GGGAAACCGGUGCGAAUCCGGUACGGUCGCGCCACUGUGAUCGCCACCACGGCGAGAGUCAGACC